CAGGCCCCUAGAGGCAUUGCAAGGGUGCCUGCUCUGUCACAUGUGUGUCAGUAGGUGGCAGAGAGAAGAGGGGGCUAUGUCUGCUCAGUGUAGCCUAUGAACAUCCCAAUGAUUCCCUGACAUU
ensembl:snoRNA Gm26208 predicted gene, 26208